rnacentral:lncRNA from 1 species
CUCUCUAAUUAUUCCUCUCAAACCUUUUUAGUCUUUAUUGUCUGAACCAUUUCCAACUAAAAAUAUAUAUUAAUAAUAAAUCAUAUAUAAUUUUUUUAAUUAAUUAAAAUAUAUAAGAAAAAAUAAAUAUAAAAUUAAAAAAAAAUAGAAAUGGAAUCAUAUUUUUCGAGUUGUAUACAAUUAAUUUAUUAUGAAUUUUUUGAAGAAAAAUAACUUUAAAAUUAUUUCACGAUGAGUACAUAAGGGCA